AGCACUUUCAGUUCCUGCACCUCCAGUGGUCCUGCCCAGAUGGAGGGUCCGUUGUGCCUCCCCUUGGGGUCUGAGGGCUGCAGGGCAAGUGAGGUCUGCCCAGCCGGCUCACAGGUUCCUUGCUUCCUUGCUGGGGUCCCCUAUGACAGGAUUCAAACUCUGGCUCCCUUCUUACUGGCUGGGUGACUUUGGGCAAGUUAUGAAACCUCUCUGUGCCUCAGUUUCUGCAUCUGUAAAAUGGGGUAAUAAUAUCUGCCUCAAAGAAUUAUCGUUAAGGACUGACGGCGUAUUUCCUAACCCCUAGCGUGCUGCAUAGUGUCACAGAAUUGUCCAUUAGUAGUAAAACCGCCCAUGUCAGUGUCACUAGUGUUUUUGAAUAUCAGCAGUGCCACCCCUCAUAUUCAGUUUAUAGCCAGUUUAAAAUGCAGUCUUUUUUCUUUUUUUUUUUCUUUUUACUUCUUCUCUUGUAUAAACAGGCCCUGCUGCUCAGGCCCAUCCCUGCAGCGUGCGCUUCAGCCGUUGGAUUUUCACAGCAGAAACGGGACUUGCGGCCGUUCCCCCUGGGUGUUCAGCCUCGGGGCCCCCCGGGGUGCUCCACGGGAAGCUGCAAGUCAGAAUCCAUUAUCUAGACUCUCGGGCAGUAGGCAUGCAUGCCCGCUGACCCGGCGGCUGCGCAUUGUGUCGGGGGCCAGAGACGAGGAGGUCACCGUGGAAAGACCCUGGUCGCUGCCUCUUCCACCCUUGCUGCCCAGGGCGAGGCUACAAAUGGCGUAGCAGGUUUUUCUGACGUUCUCCUGGACUUACAACCACCUGUGAAUCUUCUUUUCUGGGCUCCGUGCUUCGCUCUGUCCUCUCCUCGCGAUCUCACCAAGCGCCAGGGACUCAGACUCAAGCCGCCUGCCGACAGCUCCUGUGUGUCUCCAGACCAGACUUCUCGGGCGUCAGCCUGCAACGCGUCUCUGCCGGGCAUCCACAGGGGACCCCAGGGUCAGACCCUGCCCCCACCACCUGCUCCUCCUCCGCUGCUUUGGGAAGUAGAUGGCAGCUCCAUCCUGUGCCUGUUUAUGUUCCCAGUAUGGAAGUCACCCUGAUGCCUCUCGAACCCCAUGCCCAGCCCAUUAUCCAGUCCUGCUGGCUUGGCCUUCAGCAGAUGGCCAGGACCUGCCUGUGCCCACCCCUCCGGGGAGCCAGCUCGCCCCAAGGACACCACCUUGUCCCAUCCAGAUCUCUGCCCCCUAACUGCCCCCUCUUGGGGUCUGGGACUCGCUUCUGCCUUACAGCCAGAGCAACUGUUUCAAAAAUCAAGUCAUGCCAGAAACUUUCAAUUAACAAAGUCAUAUUAAAAAUGAAGGCAAUAGUCAAAA